rnacentral:rRNA from 1 species
GACAGAGGAUGCAAGCGUUAUCCGGAAUGAUUGGGCGUAAAGCGUCCGCAGGUGGCUAUGUAAGUCUGCUGUUAAAGAGUGAGGCUCAACCUCAUAAGAGCAGUGGAAACUACAUGGCUAGAGUGCGUUCGGGGCAGAGGGAAUUCCUGGUGUAGCGGUGAAAUGCGUAGAGAUCAGGAAGAACACCGGUGGCGAAAGCGCUCUGCUAGGCCGCAACUGACACUGAGGGACGAAAGCUAGGGGAGCGAAUGGG